UUCCGGAUCACCGAGACCAGGGAGGACGGAUUUGAACUGGGCGUCCGCAGCAGCCAAGCUAAGGAAAAAAUGAAGAAAGUAAAUUUGAUUGGACCAUUAACAUUGUUUCGAUACUCUGAUUGGCAGGAUAAAUUAUUU